rnacentral:rRNA from 1 species
GAUGAACGCUGGCGGCGUGCCUAAUACAUGCAAGUCGAGCGAACAGAUAAGGAGCUUGCUCCUUUGACGUUAGCGGCGGACGGGUGAGUAACACGUGGAUAACCUACCUAUAAGACUGGGAUAACUUCGGGAAACCGGAGCUAAUACCGGAUAACAUAUUGAACCGCAUGGUUCAAUAGUGAAAGGCGGCUUUGCUGUCACUUAUAGAUGGAUCCGCGCCGUAUUAGCUAGUUGGUAAGGUAACGGCUUACCAAGGCAACGAUACGUAGCCGACCUGAGAGGGUGAUAGGCCACACUGGAACUGAGACACGGUCCAGACUCCUACGGGAGGCAGCAGUAGGGAAUCUUCCGCAAUGGGCGAAAGCCUGACGGAGCAACGCCGCGUGAGUGAUGAAGGUCUUCGGAUCGUAAAGCUCUGUUAUCAGGGAAGAACAAAUGUGUAAGUAACUGUGCACAUCUUGACGGUACCUGAUCAGAAAGCCACGGCUAACUACGUGCCAGCCGCCGCCGUAACAC